AAGCGUUCAUCUGCCAAGUGGACCGCGAUGUGGUGAAUCCAGAUCACUGCGACCCCAACCCUUGCCAGAACGGUGGAACGUGCACCGAGAUUGGUGUUAUGUCCUACAGGUGUGAUUGCCCGGAAGGGUGGUCAGGACACAACUGUGAAAUUCAUUGUCCUCCAGAUUACACUCCAUAC